rnacentral:rRNA from 1 species
GCAGUUAGGCUGGUAAGUAGGAAAAUCCGCUUACCGUAAAGGCUGAGCUGUGACGGCGAGGGAAUUAUAGUACCGAAGUUCCUGAUUCCACACUGCCAAGAAAAGCCUCUAGCGAGAUAAAAGGUGCCCGUACCGCAAACCGACACAGGUAGGCGAGGAGAGAAUCCUAAGGUGAGCGAGAGAACUCUCGUUAAGGAACUCGGCAAAAUGACCCCGUAACUUCGGGAGAAGGGGUGCUUUUUAGGGUGAAUAGCCCGGAAAAGCCGCAGUGAAUAGGCCCAGGCGACUGUUUAGCAAAAACACAGGUCUCUGCGAAGCCGCAAGGCGAAGUAUAGGGGCUGACGCCUGCCCGGUGCUGGAAGGUUAAGAGGAGAGGUUAGCGCAAGCGAAGCUUUGAAUUGAAGCCCCAGUAAACGGCGGCCGUAACUAUAACGGUCCUAAGGUAGCGAAAUUCCUUGUCGGGUAAGUUCCGACCCGCACGAAAGGCGUAACGAUCUGGGCACUGUCUCAACGAGAGACUCGGUGAAAUUAUAGUACCUGUGAAGAUGCAGGUUACCCGCGACAGGACGGAAAGACCCCGUGGAGCUUUACUGUAGCCUGAUAUUGAAUUUUGGUACAGCUUGUACAGGAUAGGUAGGAGCCUGAGAAGCCGGAGCGCCAGCUUCGGUGGAGGCGUCGGUGGGAUACUACCCUGGCUGUAUUGAAAUUCUAACCCGCACCCCUGAUCGGGGUGGGAGACAGUGUCAGGUGGGCAGUUUGACUGGGGCGGUCGCCUCCUAAAGAGUAACGGAGGCGCCCAAAGGUUCCCUCAGAAUGGUUGGAAAUCAUUCGUAGAGUGUAAAGGCACAAGGGAGCUUGACUGCGAGACCUACAAGUCGAGCAGGGACGAAAGUCGGGCUUAGUGAUCCGGUGGUUCCGCAUGGAAGGGCCAUCGCUCAACGGAUAAAAGCUACCCCGGGGAUAACAGGCUUAUCUCCCCCAAGAGUCCACAUCGACGGGGAGGUUUGGCACCUCGAUGUCGGCUCAUCGCAUCCUGGGGCUGUAGUCGGUCCCAAGGGUUGGGCUGUUCGCCCAUUAAAGCGGUACGCGAGCUGGGUUCAGAACGUCGUGAGACAGUUCGGUCCCUAUC